rnacentral:lncRNA from 1 species
CAGCCGACGAGGUGGAUUUUUGAUGGUUCUCCUAUCCAAAGUCCCUCGACACAGGUAUGUUAGGGCUUGGGAAGAAGGGUUAGGGUUUCUAGAGAAGGUGGCGGCGCUCAGCACGAUCAUACGGUGGCCGUCGGAGAUGGGAAAGAAGGAGGGUGAUAGGGGUUUUGGUGAGGGUUCUAUCAAGAGGUGUGGGGUUUAAAUAGAGGAGGGAUGGGCGAGA